rnacentral:rRNA from 1 species
UACAGAGGGUGCAAGCGUUAAUCGGAAUUACUGGGCGUAAAGCGUGCGUAGACGGUUAUGUAAGUCGGGUGUGAAAUCCCCGGGCUUAACCUGGGAACUGCAUUUGUGACUGCAUCGCUGGAGUGCGGCAGAGGGGGAUGGAAUUCCGGCGUGUAGCAGUGAAAUGCGUAGAUAUGCGGAGGAACACCGAUGGCGAAGGCAAUCCCCCUGGGCCUGCACUGACGCUCAUGCACGAAAGCGUGGGGAGCAAACAGG